CCCCCGCAUUUCCUCCCUCCCUGUUUCUUUCCUUUUUCUUCCCCCACCCCCCGUACUCCUCUGCCCUAAGCAUUUCCCAAGAAGCCCUGCACUGAGAUUUUGAGUUUCUCCCCCGAAGCCCCGAGCUCAUCUGUUGUGCAAUUUCGAGUUCGCAAGUGAUUUCUUCUUCUUUGAGAUUUCUUCUUCUUCUUCUUGUUCUUCUUCUCUAAGAUUUUUUCUUCUUCUCUAAGGUUUCUUCUUCUUCUUCUUCUCUGCGAGUUCGAACACACAGAUUGAAGCCCUCAAUCCACCGACGCGAAGCCCUCAGAUCUGCGAGAGGGAGAUAUGCGGAAGGGAUCAGCGUGCUUCAUUUGCGCCACUGUAAAGAUGGUUUUUCUCUCGUCGCAGAGAUCUGCGUGCUUGUUUCUUGCCAUGGUAAGGGAGAAGCGAAAUGCGAAUUUUUUGUUUGGCCGGAUAUACUUCACAAACUAGAAGAGAGCAUUUGUACAAGAGAGAAUAAAGUUUGGAAGAUGUGGGAUGAUGUAUUGUUGUGCGAGUAUGAAGUUCGAGAAAUGGAAGAUAAAGUACAAGAGAGAGAGAGAGAGAGACAACUCUUCAGAAGGAAAAGCGAAAAUUAUUGUAUUUAUACUGAAUUGUCACAUUUGUAAUAGUUUUGGCUUGGUUCAAAUAAAUAGUAUGUAAAUAGCACGUUGUAUGGAGUAUAUGAAAUUUUUUGAAUGCACCAAUUGUAAUGGUACUUCUCAAGU